rnacentral:rRNA from 1 species
CCUACGGGUGGCAGCAGUAGGGAAUUUUCGUCAAUGGGCGCACGCCUGAACGAGCAAUGCCGCGUGAACGAGGAAGGUCUUCGGAUCGUAAAGUUCUGUUGAAGGGGAAAAAGAGCGGAGAGAGGAAAUGAACUCCGAUUGAUAUUACCCUUCGAGGAAGUCACGGCUAACUACGUGCCAGCAGCCGCGGUAAUACGUAGGUGGCGUGCGUUAUCCGGAAUGAUUGGGCGUAAAGGGUGCGUAGGGGGUAUGUCAAGUCAAGGGUGAAAUCCCCGCGCUCAACGUGGGAACUGCCUUUGAAACUGGCAAACUGGAGGGUGUGAGAGGAUAGUGGAAGUCCAGGUGUAGGAGUGAAAUCCGUAGAUAUCUGGAGGAACAUCAGUGGGGAAGGCGACGAUCUGGCACAUAACUGACGCUGAGGAGCGAAAGCGUGGGUAGCAAACAGGAGUAGAUACCCGGGUAGUC